AAUAUUAAUAAACAUGUUUACAGCCUGGUUCAAAAACGGCUUGGCUCUACGUAGCUAAUUUUUCUAUCGGCACACACUUUACGGGGAAAAAAUGAACAUAAUACUGUAUUGAAGAAGACAUGAAACUAGAGAUUGAGACCAUAAACUCAUUAGAAACAUGUUUACUGAAAGAAUAAACCAUUACUUUGAACACAAAUAUUUUUUAAUCUCCUGAUUGUAAAUAACAUUUGUUUGACUUGUUUUACUGGUUUGUCUCUUGGGUGAAUGUGCAGGUGUGUUCAACAUAAAUGGUUGAUGUCGCUCCUUUCUUCCCAGCUAACCAAUCACAGAUGCUUGAUGUCAUCAGAGACUUCUGGGUCAGCACUGGUGACCCCAACACCUGUGGUUAGCCAUCGCUGGACGACAGGAGAUGUACCUGCAAGAAAGGAAUUAUUGGUGUUUUUUUUACUUUGAUGCGCUGUUGUUAUUGUUUUAGUUAUUGUUGCUGUUCUGUGUAAAGUAUGUGUUCUCACCUGCAGGCUUCUGUUGUUACUUCCAGUUCUACUGCCUGUGCUCCUGUUAGACCGGUUACUGCUACUGAUAACCCUCCCCCCUGUGCUAUUGGUCCUUGCUGACCCAGAGGAGCUAGUGAUGCUUCCACCAGGACUCUGGGCUCUUUGGCUUCUGGUUUUCCCCACUCCACCUGACGUGCCUGCACUCCCUGCACUGCUCCCAUGUCCACUAACUGAGCUGUAAACAGGCUUCCAUUCACCACUGCCAGUACUAGCAUAUCUAACAGAGCUGCUAACCAUGUGGCUCCCAGAUGUGCCGCUGAGCCGGCCCCCACUACCAACACUACUACUGCGCCUUACAACACCACCUGAGCUGAGCCUGCCACCACUCCCAGAGCUACCAAGUCUUUGUGCACUACUUGGUGGGCUAAUAACUCGGGUACAGUCUGCACUGCUGACACUACUCAAACGUCCAGGACUCCCACCAUAAGCCCUCCAUUCCCCACUGCCCCCACCAGAAAAUCUUCCUGUUCUAGGUAUUGCCAGUGGACUAGUUGUUGGUGGACUCAUUGCUAGUUGUCUAUCUACUAAGGAACUUUCUUUGUUGUCUGCAUUUGGUAAGCUGCUGCUGGUGUAACUAAUUUGUAAAAAUAAUAGGUUUAUAAUUCACCAAAAGUCCAUCCUCAGUUUCAGUUUACAUCUUAAUUUAUAUUUUUCAUGUUUCAGUAUUUAUUUUAUGGAUAUUUGUAUUUUAUUUUGAAAUCUGUUUUAUUUUCGCGGGCUUCCUGUGAUGAAGUCGCUUCCUAUUCGCUCGCGCUACUCAGACGGUAAAUUCCCUACUGAGGAGAGGUAAGUGUCUGUUUAUGUUAGAGUUCAUUCAGUGAUACAACACGGUUUAAAGUGUUACAUUUUUUGCAGACAUUUUUUUUUACAUGUGAUGUACGUUGUGCAAGAUAUUUUGAUGAGUUAAGUAUAGCAUUGAAGUUGAAAUGCUAAUUUUCCAAUCUUAAGCUAGCUUAAUGGAGCAUGUGUGUGGUUUCUCAUGCAGUAUGCUGCAAUUUUGUGUCUCCCCUUUAGAGGUGUGCAUGUGAAGCCCAACCACAAGUUGCUGUACUUAACAGAUUGUGUUUUGCACAGAUAUGUGAGCUUAUUGUCUUUAUUUUUCAUUAAUGUAUUCUAAUUUCUUUGGUUUUGAGACAGGUUUAUAUUGUUAUAUUUUUGUAUGGAGACGGUAAAUUCCCUACUGAGGAGAGAGGUGUGCAUGUGAAGCCCAACAACACGUUGCUGUACUAAACAGAUUGUGUUUUGCACAGAAUAAAUGUCUCCUGUGAUCGUGGAAACUUCA